rnacentral:lncRNA from 10 species
UGGAAAAGUGUAAGGAUUGUAGUGGUGAGAUGUGUGUUCCAGACUCUCUGGAUUCAAAUCCCAGCUCUGCUACUCAUAACAGAUAUAGGAAAUAUUAAUAUUUAUACCACCCAUGGGACACUGGGGUAUGGCUGCUUCUAGCAGGAGGUCAUCAGCCAGCCUCCCAGGAGGUUCAGCUCCCAGGCUCCGUCCAGCUGCCCAGUGGCUGAGGCUCAGCAUCUCCACUGCCUGUAACCUACUCACGGCACACUGCACCCACGGCACACAGCACCCGGGCACCGCUCACGGCACAGAGCACCUGGGCACGGUGGCUGGGAGGCUCUGACCUCUGCAGCAGACACAGAGCUCCACUUCUUAUUCUCUGUUAAUUGA